UAGCGGGGGAGCAAGCGUUGUUCGGAAUCACUGGGCGUAAAGGGAGUCUAGGCGUUUGGUAGUGGGAUGUGAAAUGCCCCGGCUCACCCGGGGACCUGCAUCCCAAACUGCUGAGCUUGAGUGACAGGAGAGGGUGGGGAAUUCCGAGGUGUAGCGGUGAAAUGCGUAGAUAUCUGGAGGAACACCGGUGGCGAAGGCGCCCACCUGGCCUGCUACUGACGCUGAACGCUCGAAAGCUAGGGCAGCAAGCGGGAGUUAGAAA
rnacentral:rRNA from 1 species